rnacentral:rRNA from 1 species
AACAAACGCUGGCGGCGUGCCUAAUACAUGCAAGUCGAACGGGGAAAGCUUUCGGGUUAGUACUAGUGCCGCACGGGUGAGGAACGCGUGGAUAAUCUGCCUCAGAGUGGUGGAUAACUAGUCGAAAGAUUAGCUAAUACCGCAUAAGACCACAGGAGCUGCGGCUCAAGGGGUCAAAGGCUUUUCGUUCUAAGAUGAGUCCGCGUAAGAUUAGCUAGUUUGUGAGGUAACGGCUCACCAAGGCGACGAUCUUUAACUGGUCUGAGAUGGAUGAUCAGUCACAAUGGAACUGAGACACGGUCCAGACUCCUACGGGAGGCAGCAGUAGGGAAUAUUGCACAAUGGAGGAAACUCUGAUGCAGCGACGCCGCGUGAGUGAUGAAGGCCUUCGGGUCGUAAAGCUCUGUCGCAGGGGAAUAACACAAUGAAUGUACCCUGUAAGAAAGGAUCGGCUAACUUCGUGCCAGCCGCCGCGGUAAAAC